rnacentral:rRNA from 1 species
GGGUUGUGAGGUUAAGCGACUAAGCGUACACGGUGGAUGCCCUGGCAGUCAGAGGCGAUGAAGGACGUGCUAAUCUGCGAUAAGCGUCGGUAAGGUGAUAUGAACCGUUAUAACCGGCGAUUUCCGAAUGGGGAAACCCAGUGUGUUUCGACACACUAUCAUUAACUGAAUCCAUAGGUUAAUGAGGCGAACCGGGGGAACUGAAACAUCUAAGUACCCCGAGGAAAAGAAAUCAACCGAGAUUCCCCCAGUAGCGGCGAGCGAACGGGGAGGAGCCCAGAGUCUGAAUCAGUGUGUGUGUUAGUGGAAGCGUCUGGAAAGGCGCGCGAUACAGGGUGACAGCCCCGUACACAAAAAUGCACAUACUGUGAGCUCGAUGAGUAGGGCGGGACACGUGGUAUCCUGUCUGAAUAUGGGGGGACCAUCCUCCAAGGCUAAAUACUCCUGACUGACCGAUAGUGAACCAGUACCGUGAGGGAAAGGCGAAAAGAACCCCGGCGAGGGGAGUGAAAAAGAACCUGAAACCGUGUACGUACAAGCAGUGGGAGCACGCUUAGGCGUGUGACUGCGUACCUUUUGUAUAAUGGGUCAGCGACUUAUAUUCUGUAGCAAGGUUAACCGAAUAGGGGAGCCGAAGGGAAACCGAGUCUUAACUGGGCGUUAAGUUGCAGGGUAUAGACCCGAAACCCGGUGAUCUAGCCAUGGGCAGGUUGAAGGUUGGGUAACACUAACUGGAGGACCGAACCGACUAAUGUUGAAAAAUUAGCGGAUGACUUGUGGCUGGGGGUGAAAGGCCAAUCAAACCGGGAGAUAGCUGGUUCUCCCCGAAAGCUAUUUAGGUAGCGCCUCGUGAAUUCAUCUCCGGGGGUAGAGCACUGUUUCGGCAAGGGGGUCAUCCCGACUUACCAACCCGAUGCAAACUGCGAAUACCGGAGAAUGUUAUCACGGGAGACACACGGCGGGUGCUAACGUCCGUCGUGAAGAGGGAAACAACCCAGACCGCCAGCUAAGGUCCCAAAGUCAUGGUUAAGUGGGAAACGAUGUGGGAAGGCCCAGACAGCCAGGAUGUUGGCUUAGAAGCAGCCAUCAUUUAAAGAAAGCGUAAUAGCUCACUGGUCGAGUCGGCCUGCGCGGAAGAUGUAACGGGGCUAAACCAUGCACCGAAGCUGCGGCAGCGACGCUUAUGCGUUGUUGGGUAGGGGAGCGUUCUGUAAGCCUGUGAAGGUGUGCUGUGAGGCAUGCUGGAGGUAUCAGAAGUGCGAAUGCUGACAUAAGUAACGAUAAAGCGGGUGAAAAGCCCGCUCGCCGGAAGACCAAGGGUUCCUGUCCAACGUUAAUCGGGGCAGGGUGAGUCGACCCCUAAGGCGAGGCCGAAAGGCGUAGUCGAUGGGAAACAGGUUAAUAUUCCUGUACUUGGUGUUACUGCGAAGGGGGGACGGAGAAGGCUAUGUUGGCCGGGCGACGGUUGUCCCGGUUUAAGCGUGUAGGCUGGUUUUCCAGGCAAAUCCGGAAAAUCAAGGCUGAGGCGUGAUGACGAGGCACUACGGUGCUGAAGCAACAAAUGCCCUGCUUCCAGGAAAAGCCUCUAAGCAUCAGGUAACAUCAAAUCGUACCCCAAACCGACACAGGUGGUCAGGUAGAGAAUACCAAGGCGCUUGAGAGAACUCGGGUGAAGGAACUAGGCAAAAUGGUGCCGUAACUUCGGGAGAAGGCACGCUGAUAUGUAGGUGAAGUCCCUUGCGGAUGGAGCUGAAAUCAGUCGAAGAUACCAGCUGGCUGCAACUGUUUAUUAAAAACACAGCACUGUGCAAACACGAAAGUGGACGUAUACGGUGUGACGCCUGCCCGGUGCCGGAAGGUUAAUUGAUGGGGUCAGCGCAAGCGAAGCUCUUGAUCGAAGCCCCGGUAAACGGCGGCCGUAACUAUAACGGUCCUAAGGUAGCGAAAUUCCUUGUCGGGUAAGUUCCGACCUGCACGAAUGGCGUAAUGAUGGCCAGGCUGUCUCCACCCGAGACUCAGUGAAAUUGAACUCGCUGUGAAGAUGCAGUGUACCCGCGGCAAGACGGAAAGACCCCGUGAACCUUUACUAUAGCUUGACACUGAACAUUGAGCCUUGAUGUGUAGGAUAGGUGGGAGGCUUUGAAGUGUGGACGCCAGUCUGCAUGGAGCCGACCUUGAAAUACCACCCUUUAAUGUUUGAUGUUCUAACGUUGACCCGUAAUCCGGGUUGCGGACAGUGUCUGGUGGGUAGUUUGACUGGGGCGGUCUCCUCCUAAAGAGUAACGGAGGAGCACGAAGGUUGGCUAAUCCUGGUCGGACAUCAGGAGGUUAGUGCAAUGGCAUAAGCCAGCUUGACUGCGAGCGUGACGGCGCGAGCAGGUGCGAAAGCAGGUCAUAGUGAUCCGGUGGUUCUGAAUGGAAGGGCCAUCGCUCAACGGAUAAAAGGUACUCCGGGGAUAACAGGCUGAUACCGCCCAAGAGUUCAUAUCGACGGCGGUGUUUGGCACCUCGAUGUCGGCUCAUCACAUCCUGGGGCUGAAGUAGGUCCCAAGGGUAUGGCUGUUCGCCAUUUAAAGUGGUACGCGAGCUGGGUUUAGAACGUCGUGAGACAGUUCGGUCCCUAUCUGCCGUGGGCGCUGGAGAACUGAGGGGGGCUGCUCCUAGUACGAGAGGACCGGAGUGGACGCAUCACUGGUGUUCGGGUUGUCAUGCCAAUGGCACUGCCCGGUAGCUAAAUGCGGAAGAGAUAAGUGCUGAAAGCAUCUAAGCACGAAACUUGCCCCGAGAUGAGUUCUCCCUGACUCCUUGAGAGUCCUGAAGGAACGUUGAAGACGACGACGUUGAUAGGCCGGGUGUGUAAGCGCAGCGAUGCGUUGAGCUAACCGGUACUAAUGAACCGUGAGGCUUAACCUUACAACGCCGAAG